CCUACGGGUGGCAGCAGUGAGGAAUAUUGGUCAAUGGACGCAAGCCUGAACCAGCCAUGCCGCGUGCAGGAUGACGGCCCUAUGAGUUGUAAACUGCUUUUGUACGGGGGUAAACUCAGAUACGCGUACCUGUCUGAAAGUACCGUACGAAUAAGGAUAGGCUAACUCCGUGCCAGCAGCCGCGGUAAUACGGAGGAGUCAAGCGUUAUCCGGAUUUAUUGGGUUUAAAGGGUGCGUAGGCGGUCGGGUAAGUUAGAGGUGAAAUCCCGAGGCUCAACUUCGGAAUUGCCUUUGAUACUGGCCGGCUAGAGAGUAGUUGCGGUAGGCGGAAUGUAUGGUGUAGCGGUGAAAUGCUUAGAGAUCAUGAAGAACACCGAUUGCGAAGGCAGCAUACUGGCGCGCAACUGACGCUGAUGCACGAAAGCGUGGGUAUCAAACAGGAUUAGAUACCCUUGUAGUC
rnacentral:rRNA from 1 species